CAGCGCUGACUUCGCCCUCCUUGUUCCAGACGGAUCAUGGACAGUGAUUAGGCAGCCUGCUCGCGCUGGCUGGGUUUCAGCGAGAUGUUUAGGUUAACGGGGGGGCUAUCGCCAAACCCUCAGUGAGGCUGUUAUUGUUAGCGUGUCCUCCGCGUCGAUUUGAGGAAAUUGAGAACGUAAACACAGCGCGUCUAAAGCCCCGAGAGUGCAGAGGCUACGCGACCGUCAGAAAAGGGACUUUUGCGGUAAUCCAGGAAAGGUGCCAUAGAAGCAUCUGACAGGAUGCUAUGGAGUCGUGUGAUGACUGCAAGCAACCAGGCUAAUCAAUCUGAUCAGGCCAGACGCAUUAAAUCAGUCCUGUUCUGGUAUGUAACUGGUAUGGCACCCGUGGGGGCCUAUAAGCAGCCGCUUAUGUCACUUAUAGCAGCUAGCCGGCGCUGACACUGGGACUCCUCUGGUGGAGAGGGGCAGCUAUUAGGUAUCAGCUCCGGGCAGCGUUCAGCUCUGCGACGCAGGGCUGCGCAGCCGGUCGAGCGGACUGCUGACUAAAAAUAAGCAGGGGCCCUCAGGGCCCACCGAAGCCUCUUAGCAGAUUUUGGAGUCACCAGACAGCUGCUGUUAUCAGAUCAGAUGUGCCUACAUGGCGCCAUGGGCUAUGGUCACACCUGCUCUAAAACAUCGCCCCCUCGCUGAUAGCGGACAGUUCUGGAGCAAAGGGAUGAACUGGACAAACAAACGGCGGUUUGUCAGCUGAAAUAAAACGGCAGAUGACUGGAGAAGACGGAUGGAAAGUCAACCGGACCGACGUCCAUCCUGUCAGAUGUCACUGAAUAGGGGCACUGAUGGGUUUGAUUGUCAGAUGACAUUUCAUUUCUGCAUUUAUGUUUAUGAUUGCUUGAUUUUACUGAUAGGUUAUCGGCCUUUUCCCCUGCCAUAUCCUGGACCAUUUAAAAGACAGACAUUACCCAGUGUCAUCAUAAAGACUAAUAAAAUUUAA